rnacentral:misc_RNA from 1 species
GGAGAGAUCCUAGAUCAACCUGAAAAUAUCAUUGGAUUUUACAAAACUAUACAAGAAAGUUGGAAGACAUUAACUGCAGAAAACUGCUCAAUUGGAAUUUCAACUUGCUUAUGAAGUAGUCAACACCAUUUGCACUCUCAGUAAUAAACUUGGAAAGAUAAAGAAGGUAUCCUAGAACAUGGAACUUGAAGUGGAUUAAAGAAGUGUAACUUAUGAGCCAAUGCAACGGAAACAAAAGUUACAGAUAUUAUGAAAUUGUGGAAGUUCAAUAGCAAACAACACCACUUUACACUUCCUACUAAACUCUUGGUAUCUAGAAACACCUGAUGAUAUCAAUCCAUCCAUAAAAGUAUGAAGAAAUUGAGUUGAUAGGCUUAGAUGAUUGGUGCACAGUUGUUUAUUGUCUUCAACCUAUGACAUAGAUUGUUCAAAGUGAGAAAGGAUACAAGACAAAGAAGGCAGACUGUGUGUUAUGGUUCUGGGAAACUGAUCUGGUUAUGGGACAAUUAACUUGGAAAUCAGAGUGCAAUGGGUUAUGCUUUUAAGAUUUCCUCCCCUUAUGACCUAUUUUCUACUAAAAUAAGAACUUGUUGAGAUAGUACUCUUCAAUCUCUGAGUUCUACAGAAACUUGACCUCGCUGCAAAAUAUGAUUUAUUCAAACUAACUUAGUAACUACCCACAAUUUAAGCAUCCAGGAAACCAAGGAAACUACCCAAAUUUAAGCAACACAGAAAACUAAGCAAAACAUAAGCAAUACUGGAAAAGGAAAUACAAAUGAUACUUAGGCAAACUGAAUGUAUAGGAAACUAACAAUUAACUCUGAAUUUAUAACAUGGUGUCUGGAAGUUGGCAGUGAGAAAGUGAAAACUGAAAAGGUCAGGUUUUUGACAAGUUUGCAUAAGUAGUAGCAUGGUUAGUUUUUAUAGGCGUAGGAUGAGUUACCGUUAAAUGAAUAGCAACAUGAAGAAAAAAAAAAUGUAAUAUUCUCAAAAUUACAUCAUUAGGGAUCUGCUUAAUUGUUUUUCCAGAAUUUAAGUACUACAAGUGUUUACCAAAACCAAAUCUGAAAAAUAAACAAUAAAACGAAAACAGAAUCAAAGAAGUGAGUUUUGGUUCUAUUCAUGAUUUACUUAAGACUGUUGCACUAACCUAGUUCUUGGCAGAAGGCUUUGUCAGAUAAAGCAGUUACUGCCCAGAAGUCUAUAUAUGGAAAGAGGUCAGGUCAACUUAUACACAUACACACUAUUUAUGCAUGUCAAACAUUCAUGUAAGAAAGUUACCAUGAGAUCAAAACCCUGCCAAAUGCAUCUGUACUAUAUAUAUAUUGAACUGAAAAGCUCCUAUACUACAUAGAAAUGUGCAAUUGAGCCCUCCUUGUUUAUUUUGUUCAUUAUGAUAUAAAAUUUUAUUUUUGGUACAAAUUAGCGUUUUAUGAAUAAAAAAAGUGGGAACUAUUAACAUGUCCAAAAAUAUUAUUAUUGUGUUAUUUUUAGAUUUUCAAUUAUUAAUCCUUUUAUAUUAUAUCAAUAAUAUAAUAAUUUUUCUUUUCUAAAGAAAAGGAAAACUUGAAUCCACCUGUGUCAUCCCCAGCAUUGUUCUCUCUUUACAACGUUGAAUCACAAACCAGCAAAAAAGAGAUUGGGAUCCCAGCAACCAGAAAACUGGUUUUUC